ensembl:lncRNA
GGAAGAAUGAGGGGGCAGUCGAUUGGCUGCAAAAGGAGGCUGGGGAAGCUUAAUAGUGAUAACAACAGUUACCAUUUAGUGGGCAUCUUUUCUAUGCCAACACUACUGUAAAGGCAAUAUUCAAAUCAACGCCCUAUAGGUGAAGAAAUCGAGGCCCAGAAAGUCUCAGUUCAUCAGAGACUGAGCCCCGAGACCAUCACCCAAGAGGUUCACCCUCAACAGACGGGUUCCCUAAAUCCUGCCUUGUGCUCAAGAAGGCUGAAUGCAGAGGUAUCCAUGCCAAGACUGCACUAAGAGAGUUCCAGCAACCUCUUUGCUAACUCUGCUUUACUGCUUGGGAACACAUCAAUUGUCAAAAUUCCGUUAGGAAAUGAAGUGAUGUUGGCCUGGUUCCUCUCAGCUACCCUGGCUUCCUCCAACGGAGAGGGACAGCAGUCACCCCCUGUCAGAAAGCCUGGCCUGAGAUGAAGGAAAGAACUGCCAACACAGUGGGGUGCAGGAGAAGCCAGAGGCCCACCUGCCCCAAAUUACCUACCUCCUUGGGCUGCUUCUGUGCUCGGAACUCCUGCCACUGGCUUCUCUUGCCCGGAUCAAGGCCCAGUCAGAAACAUGAAUUUGUGAGCUGAGGAUUCACUUUGGGCAGGAGUACCAGCAGCUUUCUUGACAAUCACAUGGGGAGAGCCAGUUGGAGGAAUGAAACCUUAUAGAGACAAGAUGAGCAGAGAGGUAGAGAAAGAAAACCAACUGUGAUGAGCCCCUUGCUCCAGUGUGCCUCAAGCCACCCGUAUCUCUGGACCUUCCAGUUACGUAUUUUCAAACCUCAAAAUGAAGAGAGGAAGUUGGAGUGAGUGAACCCAGAGUUCAGACAGCUACACCUCCAGCUCCCACCUGUGCUGACCAGCUCCUUCCCUGCCUCCUGCCCACACACCUCCAUCUGACUGGCUGCCAUAUUGGGCUGGGAAGAGAGAAAGGGGCAGAAGAGGAGAGAAUAAGGAAAAGGUAUUGCCUGGUGACCUUGGCCUUCCUUGGAAUGGACAGCUGGAAUAAAUACUAUCCAGAGAGCCUGCGGCUGUGGGUCCUGUCAAGCCCACCACACCCAGCACCACAAAUGCCAGCCCCCUGCAGGAACUCUCUGAGCACUUUGUGGGUAUCCAUCUCCCAGAUGACUUUCAGCCCGGUCUUGCCCACCUGGUCUCAACCUUAACUGUUUACCUGGGCUGGUCUCUGAGCAGAAUCCAUGGCUGCCCUCAAAUCAGGUUACGGCCACAGCCUCUGGGUAUUGACUCAUUCAAAGAUUACAGCAGCAUUUCUGUGGAACAUCAGUCUCCCGGGCUCCUCUCUGCAAAGGUUUGCACAGUCAUGCUCCUUUGGGAAAUGCUGCCAGUUACAUCCCGCUCUUGGAAAUUUGCAAUGCGCAUCCACGUAAUAAAUGCUGUUGAACCAAGCAGUCCUGGAAUAAAGAAAACCUCCUUAACUCUGUUUAAGCCAAGCUUCCAAUCUUAUUUUAUGAUUGUAUCAGGUAGGAUACAGCUGCAAGUGACAGAAACUCUGACUCAAAACUGAGAUAAACAAUAAGGACAUGGGUCCUUCACAAACCAGACGCUCAGCAAGGUAAAGCAGGUUUUGGAGAUUUCUCCUCCAGUUUUUCUGCUCUGGCGUUCUCAGUGAUGGCUUCCUCAUUAGGCCGAUCAAGACGGCAGUUCCAGGCAUCACAUUCAGGGCUGACACAUGGCAGAGGAAGAAGAGAGAGCAUUUCUUCCUGAGAAGAAACUCUCCCACAAGGACCGUGACAUCCAUUCAGGUCUCAUUGGCCAGAAUCACAUCACGUGUCCACUCCUGAGUCAGUCAUUGGCAAAAAGAAUGGCGUUUCCCUCUGACCAUUCGCCCUGAAGCUGGAGGUGAGUCAGCUUCCCUGAAGCAGGUGGCUGCGUGGAGGUGGAAUAUAUUCCUGAACAAAACUGGAGCUCUGUUGGGAAGGCAGCGCAGAAUGGGCAGGCAGUCAACAGUGUCCACUCCAACUGCAGACUCCCUUUCACACUUAACACCCUGUGAUGGCCAAUUCUAUGUGUCCACUUGACUGGUCCGCAGGGUGCCCAGAAAUUUGCUCAAACAUUAUUCCGGGCGUGUCUGUGACGGUGUCUCUGGAUGAGAUUAACAUCUGAAUCGGUAGACUGACUAAAGCGCAUUGCCUCCCCAAUGUGGGUGAGCUCAUCCAAUCCGCUGAAGACCUGAAGAGAAUGAAAAGACUGAGAAGUGAACUCCUCCUGCCUGACUACCUGAGCGAUGACACUGGUUUCUCCCAGUGUUUGAACUUUAAACAUCAGCUCUUCUUGGGUCUCCAGCUUGCUGACUGCAGAUCUUGGGACUUAUCAGCCUCCACUUCCUGAGAAUAAGUCUUUUCUUUUUACACAUAUAUACACAUAUGUGUAUGUGUGUGCAUGUUGUUGUUGUUCCUCUUUGAGACUUAGCACAAUAUGUGGUACUUGACUAGUGCUCAACAAAUGCUCGCGAAUGACUGGCUGACUGAUCUUCAUACCUAAGGAAACUGAAAUUCCGACAGGGUGAAGUGAGAAGCACAAUAUCACGUAGAAAGGAAGUGCUAGAACUUGGAACCUGGGUCUCCUGACUUCUGAAAUCAGGAGCUCUGCAUGACACCUAGAGGUUGCAUCCCACCAUGUGACAGCAUUCCUGUUACUCAGGUCAACAAACUUUUAUUGAACACCUAUUAUGUGCCAGACACUCUUCUGGGGAUCCAUGAUGAAGAAGACACAAUCCCUGCCCUCAAGGUAACAGAUUGCCUUCCCCUGGACCAAAGCCUCCAGCUGGCCUCCCUGCAUCCAGGCUUCUGCUCCUCCCAUCCAUCCCUCAGGGCACCACCAGAAUGACUUCUUGGUUUACAUGCUUCAAAAGCGAUGGCUUCCUGGGAAUAAUGUGCACACUCCUGGCCUUCCAUUGUGGUAACCCAUCCAUAAUCUAACUUCUCUUACCCACACAGACUCACAUUUGACCACUGGCCAACUCAACCUUUCUCACUGUGGGGACAAGACUGCUCACUGCCCCACAAACCACACAGCAGACUUCUUUCCAUCUCCACACCUUUGCUCCUUUGGUGCCUCCCAGCUGACAAACUUUCAUCACUUCUCAACUUGUAACUGGCAUGACCUACUUCAUUAGCUUGGAGUACAAGCAUAUUCACUUUUUCUUCCUCAAUUAAACCCUUGGAGGUCUUACAUGUUUCUAUUAGAAUUAUAUUUCCAUCUUUAUGAUCUCCUAAAAUUUGUACAAGAGUCCCACGAGCUUUCUA